AUCCAACCUGUCCUUUCCCAAGGUGGGCUCUGCAUGGAAGAAGAAGCUACACCUCCAACAGGCUGAGGAUGUCUGUUCCCAGGGAGAGCAGCCUGCCUUUUUGGGACCGAUCCUUUGAAUUUCACAGAAACAAGCUGCUACAGCUUUUGAAUGAACUUGCUGCUAUUUGCUCUCACUCUCUCCCUCUUCCAGCUGUAUUUCUCAUCGCAAAUAAAGCCCAAGAGGAGCCGAAGAAUUCCUAG
rnacentral:lncRNA from 1 species